rnacentral:miRNA from 1 species
UAUUUAGUGUAACUGUAUCUCAUGUAAUACUUGGGACAUAUUUAUACUGAAA